ACUGCACUUUGAAACACUGUGUGCAGCCUGGGGCCAGCUGGGGUGACCCCAGGCUGCACUUGCUGUUUCAAAGCGGCAG
rnacentral:pre_miRNA from 1 species